GUAGAGGAGGGUAAGAUGAACACCAGAGGCCUCCGUGGUAAUAAGCUGCAGCAAGAUGUAGGUGUGAAGCUGGUGAGCUGCUCUUUGCUGAUUGAGCUGCAGUCCUGACAUUGAUGGAUAUUACAAGUGAGGAAGCGUGUCCAUGACAGUGACCUUUGGAAAUUUGCAGUCAUCAGCAGCUUUGUCUGAGAAUGGGUAUUGCUGACAGCAGUGUCUGAAGACAAAGGCAUCACAUAAAUCAUAGCUUGUUGGGUUGUUCAGAAGGGACUGUGCCUGAAUGGCCAUCAAAUGCUUCCUGAAGAGGAUGAACAUACCAAGGACAGAAGAAAAGCUGGAACAAAAGGCCAGGACAGCCACGGCAAUCAGCCAUGUCUGCUGAAGAUGAUGGAAGGUGCCUUUAGCUCAGGAGAUCACCACUUGGUAAGUGUUUAGCACUCUUUUUGGGACGCAUGUUUCCAUACCUGUAGGGAAGUCCAGAGGCAGGCUGGACCUGUGGGAUAGGCAGGACUUGGAGCAUGUUUCCUGGGCAUGGUGUGCCCCAGCUUACUGGCCAUGUAGACAGAUGUUGAUGGGGUGUUUCUUCAGCCUUUGUGCAGUUCAGAGCACAGCUGGAGUAACCUCUUCUCCACUCAGCAUGAGCAGAGCUGCUGGUGUCUGGUUAGAAGGUAUUAAGUAGACAAGUCCUGGUGUCAGAUACUAAAGAGGGCUUUGUCGUGGAACAUUAAUGUCAGAAGUCUUAUGUUUGCAGGUAAGGGAAGACAUGCUAGCUGGAAUUUGCCAUAGUAUCCUAGUACUGUUGCCAAAAAGGCAAACACUC